rnacentral:rRNA from 1 species
UCGAGCGGUAACAGGAAUUAGCUUGCUAAUUCGCUGACGAGCGGCGGACGGGUGAGUAAUGCCUGGGAAUAUGCCUUAGUGUGGGGGAUAACUAUUGGAAACGAUAGCUAAUACCGCAUAACGUCUUCGGACCAAAGAGGGGGACCUUCGGGCCUCUCGCGCUAAGAUUAGCCCAGGUGGGAUUAGCUAGUUGGUGAGGUAAAGGCUCACCAAGGCAACGAUCCCUAGCUGGUCUGAGAGGAUGAUCAGCCACACUGGAACUGAGACACGGUCCAGACUCCUACGGGAGGCAGCAGUGGGGAAUAUUGCACAAUGGGGGAAACCCUGAUGCAGCCAUGCCGCGUGUAUGAAGAAGGCCUUCGGGUUGUAAAGUACUUUCAGUCGUGAGGAAGGUAAUGUAGUUAAUAGCUGCAGUGCUUGACGUUAGCGACAGAAGAAGCACCGGCUAACUCCGUGCCAGCAGCCGCGGUAAUACG